GACGUAGGGCGCGAGCGUUGUCCGGAUUUAUUGGGCGUAAAGAGCUCGUAGGCGGCUUGUCGCGUCGACUGUGAAAUCCCGCGGCUCAACUGCGGGUCUGCAGUCGAUACGGGCAGGCUAGAGUUCGGUAGGGGAGACUGGAAUUCCUGGUGUAGCGGUGAAAUGACGCAGAUAUCAGGAGGAACACCGAUGGCGAAGGCAGGUCUCUGGGCAUUAACUGACGCUGAGGAGCGAAAGCAUGGGGAGCGAACAGG
rnacentral:rRNA from 1 species